rnacentral:rRNA from 1 species
AGGACGAACGCUGGCGGCGUGCUUAACACAUGCAAGUCGAGCGGUAAGGCCUUUCGGGGUACACGAGCGGCGAACGGGUGAGUAACACGUGGGUGAUCUGCCCUGCACUUCGGGAUAAGCCUGGGAAACUGGGUCUAAUACCGGAUAUGACCUCCUAUCGCAUGGUGGGUGGUGGAAAGAUUUAUCGGUGCAGGAUGGGCCCGCGGCCUAUCAGCUUGUUGGUGGGUAAUGGCCUACCGAAGGCGACGACGGGUA